rnacentral:rRNA from 1 species
UACGGAGGGGACUAGCGUUGUUCGGAAUUACUGGGCGUAAAGCGCACGUAGGCGGAUUUGUUAGUCAGGGGUGAAAUCCCGGGGCUCAACCUCGGAACUGCCUUUGAUACUGCAAAUCUCGAGUCCGGAAGAGGUGAGUGGAAUUCCUAGUGUAGAGGUGAAAUUCGUAGAUAUUAGGAAGAACACCAGUGGCGAAGGCGGCUCACUGGUCCGGUACUGACGCUGAGGUGCGAAAGCGUGGGGAGCAAACAGG